GUGCAGUGAUUAUUGGGAGAUUUCAAACAAUUACAAGGGUGCUCACCUGGAAUGCCGUGGGACAAAGGAACGGUUGAACAACUGCAUUGUGAUACUGGA